rnacentral:rRNA from 1 species
AUUGAACGCUGGCGGCAGGCCUAACACAUGCAAGUCGAACGGUAACAGGAAGAAGCUUGCUUCUUUGCUGACGAGUGGCGGACGGGUGAGUAAUGUCUGGGAAACUGCCUGAUGGAGGGGGGAUAACUACUGGAAACGGUAGCUAAUACCGCAUAACGUCGCAAGACCAAAGAGGGGGGACCUUCGGGGCCUCUUGCCAUCGGAUGUGCCCAGAUGGGAUUAGCUAGUAGGUGGGGUAACGGCUCACCUAGGCGACGAUCCCUAGCUGGUCUGAGAGGAUGACCAGCCACACUGGAACUGAGACACGGUCC